rnacentral:rRNA from 1 species
AUACGGAGGGGGCUAGCGUUGUUCGGAAUUACUGGGCGUAAAAGCGCACGUAGGCGGACUUGAAAGUCAGAGGUGAAAUCCCAGGGCUCAACCUUGGAACUGCCUUUGAAACUCCUGGUCUUGAGGUCGUGAGAGGUGAGUGGAAUUCCGAGUGUAGAGGUGAAAUUCGUAGAUAUUCGGAGGAACACCAGUGGCGAAGGCGGCUCACUGGCACGAUACUGACGCUGAGGUGCGAAAGCGUGGGGAGC